GAUGAACGCUGGCGGCGUGCUUAACACAUGCAAGUCGAACGGGAAACUUUUCAUUGAAGCUUCGGCAGAUUUGGUCUGUUUCUAGUGGCGGACGGGUGAGUAACGCGUGGGUAACCUGCCUUAUACAGGGGGAUAACAACCAGAAAUGGUUGCUAAUACCGCAUAAGCGCACAGGACCGCAUGGUCCGGUGUGAAAAACUCCGGUGGUAUAAGAUGGACCCGCGUUGGAUUAGCUAGUUGGCAGGGCAACGGCCUACCAAGGCGACGAUCCAUAGCCGGCCUGAGAGGGUGAACGGCCACAUUGGGACUGAGACACGGCCCAGACUCCUACGGGAGGCAGCAGUGGGGAAUAUUGCACAAUGGGGGAAACCCUGAUGCAGCGACGCCGCGUGAAGGAAGAAGUAUCUCGGUAUGUAAACUUCUAUCAGCAGGGAAGAUAGUGACGGUAC
rnacentral:rRNA from 1 species